rnacentral:rRNA from 1 species
CUGCAUGCGGCUGCUAUACAUGCAGUCGAGCGAUGAUUGAAGAUAGCUUGCUAUUUUCAUGAAGAGCGGCGAACGGGUGAGUAACGCGUGGGAAAUCUGCCGAGUAGCGGGGGACAACGUUUGGAAACGAACGCUAAUACCGCAUAACAAUGAGAAUCGCAUGAUUCUUAUUUGAAAGAAGCAAUUGCUUCACUACUUGAUGAUCCCGCGUUGUAUUAGCUAGUUGGUAGUGUAAAGGACUACCAAGGCGAUGAUACAUAGCCGACCUGAGAGGGUGAUCGGCCACACUGGGACUGAGACACGGCCCAGACUCCUACGGGAGGCAGCAGUAGGGAAUCUUCGGCAAUGG